CCCUUCUCAGGGUCACACCUGGAGAAUUUCCAGUACUCUACCAGUCUCAGCUACAGGAGGGAGAGUUAAGCAGAGGCAGACCCAUUCCAUUCCUAGCUUGGGUAUUAGCUAGCAAGUGGAAGGCAAUCUGCUACAAAU